UUUGGUUAAGUUAGAAAGGGCGCACGGUGGAUGCCUUGACACUAGGAGUCGAUGAAGGACGGGACUAACGCCGAUAUGCUUCGGGGAGCUGUAAGUAAGCUUUGAUCCGAAGAUUUCCGAAUGGGGAAACCCACCAUACGUAAUGGUAUGGUAUCCUUACCUGAAUACAUAGGGUAAGGAAGACAGACCCAGGGAACUGAAACAUCUAAGUACCUGGAGGAAGAGAAAGCAAAUGCGAUUUCCUGAGUAGCGGCGAGCGAAACGGAACAUAGCCCAAACCAAGAGGCUUGCCUCUUGGGGUUGUAGGACAUUCUAUACGGAGUUACAAAGGAACGAGGUAGACGAAGCGACCUGGAAAGGUCCGUCGUAGAGGGUAACAACCCCGUAGUCGAAACUUCGUUCUCUCUUGAAUGUAUCCUGAGUACGGCGGAACACGUGAAAUUCCGUCGGAAUCUGGGAGGACCAUCUCCCAAGGCUAAAUACUCCCUAGUGAUCGAUAGUGAACCAGUACCGUGAGGGAAAGGUGAAAAGCACCCCGGAAGGGGAGUGAAAGAGAUCCUGAAACCGUGUGCCUACAAAUAGUCAGAGCCCGUUAAUGGGUGAUGGCGUGCCUUUUGUAGAAUGAACCGGCGAGUUACGAUCCCGUGCGAGGUUAAGCUGAAGAGGCGGAGCCGCAGCGAAAGCGAGUCUGAAUAGGGCGUUUAGUACGUGGUCGUAGACCCGAAACCAGGUGAUCUACCCAUGUCCAGGGUGAAGUUCAGGUAACACUGAAUGGAGGCCCGAACCCACGCACGUUGAAAAGUGCGGGGAUGAGGUGUGGGUAGCGGAGAAAUUCCAAUCGAACCUGGAGAUAGCUGGUUCUCCCCGAAAUAGCUUUAGGGCUAGCCUUAAGUGUAAGAGUCUUGGAGGUAGAGCACUGAUUGGACUAGGGGUCCUCAUCGGAUUACCGAAUUCAGUCAAACUCCGAAUGCCAAUGACUUAUCCUUAGGAGUCAGACUGCGAGUGAUAAGAUCCGUAGUCAAAAGGGAAACAGCCCAGACCGCCAGCUAAGGUCCCAAAGUGUGUAUUAAGUGGAAAAGGAUGUGGAGUUGCUUAGACAACUAGGAUGUUGGCUUAGAAGCAGCCACCAUUUAAAGAGUGCGUAAUAGCUCACUAGUCGAGUGACUCUGCGCCGAAAAUGUACCGGGGCUAAAUACACCACCGAAGCUGCGGAUUGAUACCAAUGGUAUCAGUGGUAGGGGAGCGUUCUAAGGACAGUGAAGUCAGACCGUAAGGACUGGUGGAGUGCUUAGAAGUGAGAAUGCCGGUAUGAGUAGCGAAAGACGGGUGAGAAUCCCGUCCACCGAAUGCCUAAGGUUUCCUGAGGAAGGCUCGUCCGCUCAGGGUUAGUCAGGACCUAAGCCGAGGCCGACAGGCGUAGGCGAUGGACAACAGGUUGAUAUUCCUGUACCACCUCUUUAUCGUUUGAGCAAUGGAGGGACGCAGAAGGAUAGAAGAAGCGUGCGAUUGGUUGUGCACGUCCAAGCAGUUAGGCUGAUAAGUAGGCAAAUCCGCUUAUCAUAAAGGCUGAGCUGUGAUGGGGAAGCUCCUUAUGGAGCGAAGUCUUUGAUUCCCCGCUGCCAAGAAAAGCUUCUAGCGAGAUAAAAGGUGCCUGUACCGCAAACCGACACAGGUAGGCGAGGAGAGAAUCCUAAGGUGUGCGAGAGAACUCUGGUUAAGGAACUCGGCAAAAUGACCCCGUAACUUCGGGAGAAGGGGUGCUUUCUUAACGGAAAGCCGCAGUGAAUAGGCCCAAGCGACUGUUUAGCAAAAACACAGCUCUCUGCGAAGCCGUAAGGCGAAGUAUAGGGGGUGACACCUGCCCGGUGCUGGAAGGUUAAGGAGAGGGGUUAGCGUAAGCGAAGCUCUGAACUGAAGCCCCAGUAAACGGCGGCCGUAACUAUAACGGUCCUAAGGUAGCGAAAUUCCUUGUCGGGUAAGUUCCGACCCGCACGAAAGGUGUAACGAUUUGGGCACUGUCUCAACCAGAGACUCGGUGAAAUUAUAGUACCUGUGAAGAUGCAGGUUACCCGCGACAGGACGGAAAGACCCCGUGGAGCUUUACUGUAGCCUGAUAUUGAAUUUUGGUACAUUUUGUACAGGAUAGGCGGGAGCCUUUGAAACCGGAGCGCUAGCUUCGGUGGAGGCGCUGGUGGGAUACCGCCCUGAAUGUAUUGAAAUUCUAACCUACGGGUCUUAUCGACCCGGGAGACAGUGUCAGGUGGGCAGUUUGACUGGGGCGGUCGCCUCCUAAAGUGUAACGGAGGCGCCCAAAGGUUCCCUCAGAAUGGUUGGAAAUCAUUCGUAGAGUGCAAAGGCAUAAGGGAGCUUGACUGCGAGACCUACAAGUCGAGCAGGGACGAAAGUCGGGCUUAGUGAUCCGGUGGUUCCGCAUGGAAGGGCCAUCGCUCAACGGAUAAAAGCUACCCGGGGAUAACAGGCUUAUCUCCCCAAGAGUCCACAUCGACGGGGAGGUUUGGCACCUCGAUGUCGGCUCAUCGCAUCCUGGGGCUGUAGUCGGUCCCAAGGGUUGGGCUGUUCGCCCAUUAAAGCGGUACGCGAGCUGGGUUCAGAACGUCGUGAGACAGUUCGGUCCCUAUCCGUCGUGGGCGCAGGAAAUUUGAGAGGAGCUGUCCUUAGUACGAGAGGACCGGGAUGGACGCACCGCUGGUGUACCAGUUGUUCUGCCAAGGGCAUAGCUGGGUAGCUAUGUGCGGAAGGGAUAAGUGCUGAAAGCAUCUAAGCAUGAAGCCCCCCUCAAGAUGAGAUUUCCCAUAGCGUAAGCUAGUAAGAUCCCUGAAAGAUGAUCAGGUUGAUAGGUUCGAGGUGGAAGCAUGGUGACAUGUGGAGCUGACGAAUACUAAUAGAUCGAGGACUUAACCAUAUAAUAUGUA
rnacentral:rRNA from 1 species